CGACUGAGCCACCCAGGCGCCCCUCCUCAUGUUAUUAAAGAACUAUUCACUGUUUUUUAAACCCGAAUGUUCUAUCAGAUCUAAUCGAGUGCCUUGUAAUAGACAGCUCCAGGAUGCGUAUUACAUAGUUGGGAGCUCAUUAAAUAAAAUGGUGUUUAUGAGAUGUAGUUCCUUUUCCUAGUUAGGAUUCUGUGGGUUUGGGUUCAUAGUAGACUGAUAGUGUGAACCUGGACAUCCUCUGAAGGGAUCUGCUUUGCAGAAGAGGUACGGUUGCAGGAAGGAGAUGCCCAUCACGGGGAUGAAAAAUGAAACUAGACUCCCAGGUGCCAGGAGUCAGAUGGACUCAAGGUCCGAGGUGAGUGGAAGUGAGGUUUGACAAUACAUUCUAAUGUGAGUGAAUUUAUUGGAGAAGACAGAAGAGCAAGAUUUUUUGGGGGAAAAAAUCUUAGAGCAAGAAGACAUAAAAAAGAAAUGGGUGAGGAAUAGGGAGUGGGAGGGUAAAAAUGAAAGGUUUUAAGUUUUUAAACUGUUCUGAAACUUUCUGUGUGCAUUGACUAGUUAAUAGCAGAGGCUUUGUUAGAAAAUAAAUUAACGAGUUUUCCUUUUCAUUUCCGGUGAAUACAUCAAAAUAUCACCAGAUGCUGUUAUUUGACUCACAUCCCGUGCCUUUCCAAAGUUACGCCCAGGAUCCAUGCAGUGCUUGCUUCUUUAGAUGGCUUUAUGAUCGUUAACUUGUUUAAAUCAGAUUCCUGGAAGGCGCACACAGUGUUUAUUACUGGAUGUGUUUUAUGGAUUAGGAAACAAAUCAUUUGUGUAGCACAGGCCACAAAUCUGGGCUGAGGCCAUGAGAUCUCACUGCUUUCCAUAUCUACUGGUUUUAAUUUUUAUCUGGAAAUUCUCUAUUUUCUAACUGCUUUUAAAAAUGACUGAACCUUAAAUUUUAAAGUUGAGUCAGCACCCGUAUAAUUGAUUUUAGACUAUAUUUCAUGGAAAGGGCCUUAGAUUUUGGUCUGUUUAUUUCUUUGAAAGGGACUGCAUGUGAUUUGCUGCUAGUCAUUUCUUGACUCAAAUAUCUGUGACAUAAUCUUCGUAACUAAAUCUGUGAAACUGGUUUGAAUUCUUUAGACUUGAUGGUUUGAGGCUGGGGUUGGCAGUCUGUAUGACAGGAGUUCUGGGGGUGGCCCUUGGGCUAGUUUUCACCAAGCAGCCGUGGGAGAUGGGAGGUGCUGCUGUAUGAUCCUGUGCUACCCCUCCCCCGGACCCUAGGACCUUUUAAAAGCCUGCAGUGCUUUAGGGAGUUUAAGACACUUAAUACUUUUUCUCAUAUUUAAUCACAUUGACACAGGGCAACAUCUUUCUUUGUCCUUCCCACAUCUCUUGAGUUUCCUUUCUUCCAACUUGUGUCAUUUCUGUUUCUUUUCACAGCCAGCAAGGCAUCUAGCUUCUUAGGCUGGCUUCUGGUUGCCCCCCCCGCCCCCGGAUUUCCUUCAUGAUCCUGCCUCUACAUUUUUCUGUUCUUCCGUGUCCCGUCGGUUCUCGCUUUGUGCUAUGGCUGAUUUGAUUUAGUUUGGUGGAAAGGGCAUUAAGGUAGAGCAAUGUUAAUAACUGUAAGAAUGAUUAAUGGGUACUUGCCUGAUUGGAGACUGUGCUAAGUGCUUCAUAUUCUUUCCACUGGAUGCUAGUUCCUACGAGCUACAGAACCUUGGGAGAGUGUCCAGCUCUGGGCCAUAGGCUGCUCAUCUGGAAAAUGGGGGACUUGGUGGAGUAAGUAAAGUGUUUCUGGCCCUAAAAUGCUGUGAUUUGAGUUUAUUCACGUUGUGGUAUGAUUGUCAGUCCUCGUGAGACUUGAGCUUUUUGAAAGGUACCUGUUCAUCGAGACUGGGGUCCCAAUGUAGGGGUGUUGCUUCUCAGCCCCAGGAUGCGGAGACCCAGGACUCCUUAUUUUAGACUACCUUGCAGUGUGGCUGGCUUUCUUUUUCCUUCAGAAGCUUAGGGAUGUGUCUCAAGGGCACCCUUCUCCAUACUUGUGCUGUCUACAUCAGGACACCUGAAAACUGAACCUGAACACUGCACUUUGGAAAGGUUGUUGACCCCAAUUUGGAAGAUUUUGCUGCUUUUCAUCUCCGUGUUGGAGGCCCUGGGCUUCUAAAGACAUCCCUUCCUUGAUGGUUCCCUAGAGGAGUUUCUGGGAACCUGCUUAAUUCUUCUGUUAAUUCUUGAACAGCUCGUAAAAAAAUGCUACCUCAGAUCCUUCUCUUGCAAAGUUGUACAUGGUGUGUGACCUUGAGUGCUUGUUUCCUACUUCUAGGGGAAUUUUUGUUAGUGCUCAGUCUCUCGGUCGUGUUCAUAAUGACGCCAAGCUACUUAUCUGUUCAUUGUCAAGGCCACUGACAGUUGUUUUGCUUUCUGCUUUUACACUGAUGCAUCAUGCAUUCAUUGCACGUACUGUCCAUUUUCUAAAAGUCUAUGAUUAUCUUUUUUGUUUCUUUAUGUUUUCAGAGAGAUUAAUCAUCGCUAUGCUAGGAACACUUACUUAAUCAGCUUUGUCUCUAGUGUUGCUCAUAUUCCUUCCGCUUUUCCGAUAUUUUUUUUUUUUAGUUUUUCAAAAUUGUAUAAUACCUAAUUCUUACAGGCUCUAUCCCAAAAGAAUUUGUGAUGACUCUUCCAUUUUUAGGGAUUAUUGCCUGAAAAUGCAGGUAUUUGAUAGCAACAAGCGAAAAAUAUUUUUAAAUAGAAUGCCAUAUAUAGCCUUUCUUUAGGUUUUAUCUUUGAAAUCUGUGGUCUGUUUUAUGCCUUUUAGUUAGUUUGUGAACAGUCACUGUGCUUGCUGUGUUUGUAAGCUUCUCCUUUUUUCGAGACCAAAGAUAUCAAAAUUGUACUUUUCUCUCACUCUUAAAGGGUUCAAAAUUAAGAUUCCUUCUGCUACUAAUUUAAUUCUUCUGAAAAGGUACAUAGGAGUUUGCUCUUUGCCAUUUAUCUUCGUCACUGUGUAACUAGCAGUUUGGAACAGGACUUGAUAGGUUUAAUGAAUCAGUACCUUAUUUAGUCAUUUCCUGUCAUCUACAGAAUAUUUUUCAGUAGCAGAUCAUUUGCGAUUGUAAACAACAGAAAUAUCCCAACAACAGAUUUGGUUUAAAAAGAUUUUAUCCGUGUAAGAAAUCAUGCCUUAUCGUAGCUGAAGAACAUGUGCUCCUGUGUGUGUGUGUGUGUGUGUGUGUGUUGUGGGGGAGGGUGAUGGUGUGAUAUCCUGGCUUAUCCUGGGCUCGUUCUGUGUCUGGUGGUCCCAGCCCCUUAACCCAGGAAGGGCCCAGCAUUGUGGGAGGACGUUGGCAGUCAGACUCUGAGAGUGACUGGAAACGCCCUUCUUCUUACUGCAUUUUGUUCUUGUUUUUGCAGAGUACUAGUUGUUGGAAAACACUGAAUUGCAAUUGUAUAAAUAUACGUAGUACUUGCUAAACCGUCGUCUUGGCUCAUUGUGCUCUUUUCGAGUGAAGGGAUCUAAGCUCCGGAAAGAUUACUUACUCAUCAGGAACAGGUCAGGUCCUGGACAUUCCUGGUAAAGUCCAGUGUAUUUUGGAUUGCAGCACUUUCUGUGUUACUUUUCAUGCAUUGGAAUCCUCCUAAUCCUGAACCUAGACUCUAGGAGCAGACCCAAGUAAAUAUGUCCUCGCUGGGCUAAACCAAAGAAAACAAGCGAUGCUUAAAGAUGUCUGGCACCUCUCGGCAAGUUUUGUGUGUUGCGAGCACACCAUGGCCCUGGGUAUCCUGAUGAUCCAUUUUGGGCCAUUCCUCUCUCCUUGUUCAUUCUCUUUUCUUUCUGUGUUCUUUACUCUUUCCACUUCUCCCCCCCACCCCUUUUUUUUUCUUUUUUCCAUUUUGGGUUCUUUUUUCCUCUGUUCUAUGUUUCCCUUUGCCAUUCCUGCUAUGGAUAGCCUAGUAACACCCUGAAGUUAUUGCAGGCAUUUUUUUUUUUUUUUAGCCUGACUAAUGGCAGCCCAGAGCUAAAUACAGGUUUUCCUCUGAUAAGAUUCUGUGCUGGUGCAAACUAUCUCUAAAGAGUUUAAUGUUUAUAUCGCAUAUUCCAUGUUGAAUGGAAAGUAUGAUGUGAAAUAUAUUUCACAUGGAUGUUUAAGUUUUGUGCCUAAAGGACAUUCUGCCAACAUUUAGGUAAUAGUAAUCACAUAGAUAAUGAACUUCAGGAUUCUUUUUUAUUUAUGAAAUUUCU